rnacentral:lncRNA from 1 species
CACGAACUAAAGAGAAAGAAGAGAAGAAGGAUGAGGAGGAGAGCGAGAAGAAAAAUCGUUCGAUUUAGAAAUGCUUACCCCCUCUGGCGGUGGAAUGAAAAAUGUCUAGAAGGAACUUGACAAAAAAGAACUGAUAAGAAACCAACUCCCUGCCACACCCAGCUCUCACUCGCCAUUCUCACAAGUUAACACCGCUCACGACAUUUAGAAGGACAAAGGAAAUCCCAAAAGUGAAUUGUGGCCUUAACUGGCAUUAUUUUUCCGUUUUCCAUUGAGGAAAAUUGAACGGAAAUGACGGACAAGGUAAUAUAAAUGUUACCAUCAAAGCGAUUCUGGUUGGCAAGUCAACUUUGUCAGCGUCAAAUUACGUGUUUUCCUAUUCGGCAAAGUCUUCAUUUCACCGCUCUUACGUCCAACUCAACUGAAAAUGGCCUCGCCAUUAUCUUCAAGUCGUGCUGGAAAUGUACACGGCAUUCAGUUUGAUCGCUCACAUCUUGUCGGGGAGGAUGCCUAUACUUCAGUGUUACGUGGCACAUUGAAUGGUCAAAGGGUAGCAAUCAAAGGAAUCGAGGUGACCAGAGGCACAGAUCAAACAACUGACAACAAGUUAAAAGUUCUGCAGCAGUUAAACCAUUCGAAUGUCGUCGAACUUCUUCACUGUUAACACGACAAAAAUUUUAUGUACUAUGCAUUUGAAUGGUGUAACACCUCGUUAUGUCAGCUGUUCUUGAAGUCGGAUGACCCAAAAAAAUACGAUGGACCUAUGCCACAUCAUAUCGAUGCUUUAUUUCAAUUGGCUUCUGGUCUCGAACACAUUCAUUCACAGAAUUUAGUUCACGGAGACAUCAAACCAGAAAAUGUCCUGAUCUCGGUGAGAUCUGGUGGCAAAGAUAAGAUCUCUCAAAUGGGAAAACUUUGGACUGACCAGAAACGACAGUGAACGAGGAAGAGGGAAAACAAAUCAAGUCGGGGGAGAUAACGCGUGGUUGGCACCCGAGUUGCUGUCGUUUAAACUAAAUAGCAGCGUAGAAGAAAACAAUUACAAAGAGACCGCCAAGAGCGACGUCUUUGCACUAGGACUCGUUUUUGAAAGUCUAUUCUUGAACGGUGAACAUCUCUACGGUCCCAUGGGAAAUGAAAAUGAAAUUCCCCAAAACAUAAUUGAAGGGAAUCCCAUCAACAUGCAAAAAAUUGACGGCAAAUUACGCGACUGUUACGAGAAUGACCCAAUGAAAAAAAUGUUGGAACACGCCCCUGACAAAAGGAUGACAUCGACACAAGUUAGUCAACGCGUUAGUCAACUAAAAGCCAUCAAGGAGAAGCUCACUGAAAAAGAAAAAGAAUUAAUCCAAUUAUGUGGAGAUGUUCACCUUUCGAGAAUAGACUUCCGAAAACGAGUCCUAGUGCAAAGACGUCGCUCUUGGCGGUCUCUUUGUAAUUGUUUUCUUCUACGUUGCUAUUUAGUUUAAACGACAGCAACUCGGGUGCCAACCACGUGUUAUCUCCCCCCACUUGAUUUGUUUUCCCUCUUCCUCGUUCACUGACGUUUCUGGUCAGUCCAAAGUUUGCCCAUUUGAGAGUUAUAUCAUCUUUGCCACCAGAUCUUACCGAGAUCAGGACAUUUUCUGGUUUAAUGUUUCCGUGAACUAAAUUCUGUGAAUGAAUGUGUUUGAGACCAGAAGCCAAUUGAAACAAAGCAUCAAUAUGAUGUGGCAUAGGUCCAUCGUAUUUUUUGGGGUCAUCCGACUUCAAGAACAGCUGAGAUAACGAGGUGUUACACCAUUCAAAUGCAUAGUACCUUUAAACACGGCAAAGAGAUAAACGAAAAUCAUUAUGAUAAUUUAUUUUUGGUUAAAAACAAGAAAAAAGAAUCUUACAUAAAAUUGUUGUCGUGUUCAUAGUGUUGUCGUGUUCAUAGUGAAGAAGUUUGACGACAUUCGGAUGGUUUAACUGCUGCAGAAUUUUUUACUUGUUGUCAGUUGUUUGAUUUGUGCCUCUGGUCACCUCGAUUCUUUUGAUUGCUACCCUUUGACCAUUCAAUGUACCAUGUAACACUGAAGUAUAGCCAUCCUCCCCGAAAAGAUGUGAGCGAUCAAACUGAAUGCCGUGUACAUUUCCAGCAUGACUUGAAGAUAAUGGCGAGGCCAUUUUCAGUUGAGUUGGACGUAAGAGCGGUGAAAUGAGGACUUUGCCGAAUGGGAAAACACGUAAUUUGACGCUGAAAAAGUUGACUUGCCAACCAGAAUCGCUUUGCACGCUGAAGAAAAGAAAAGGAAAAAGACUCGAGCGGUAGAGCUGGUGAAAUAGAAGAGUAAAAGUGAAGUGAAAUCAAGUAGAAAACAUCAAAUAUUAGCUUGUUGCAAACCUGACAAAUGUAGGCGACGACAGCAAGGCCAUAGUGUUGCCCCUUGCUUGUUCAUAAAAUAUGAAAUGAUAAAAUUAACGAGGAUAUCCAGAUGAGAAAUACAAAGAUUCUGUGUUACGAUAAA